GAUGAACGCUAGCGAUAGGCUUAACACAUGCAAGUCGAGGGGCAGCACAUGAGUGGCAACACGAUGGUGGCGACCGGCGCACGGGUGAGUAACACGUAUGCAACCUGCCCAUAACUGGGGGAUAACCCGUCGAAAGGCGGACUAAUACCGCAUGACAACGAUGAUCCGCAUGGUGAUUCGUUUAAAGAUUUAUCGGUUAUGGAUGGGCAUGCGUUCCAUUAGGUAGUUGGCAGGGUAACGGCCUACCAAGCCUACGAUGAAUAGGGGUUCUGAGAGGAAGGUCCCCCACACUGGUACUGGGACACGGCCCAGACUCCUACGGGAGGCAGCAGUGAGGAAUAUUGGUCAAUGGGCGAGAGCCUGAACCAGCCAAAUCGCGUGAAGGAUGAAGGUAUUAUGUAUUGUAAACUUCUUUUGUCGGGGAAUAAAGUGCGGGACGUGUCCCGUUUUGUAUGUACCCGAAGAAUAAGGAUCGGCUAACUCCGUGCCAGCAGCCGCCGUAACAC
rnacentral:rRNA from 1 species